rnacentral:rRNA from 1 species
GCUUACGGCCACACCCUGAGUACGCCUGAUCUCGUCCGAUCUCGGAAGCUAAGCAGGGUCGGGCCUGGUUAGUACUUGGAUGGGAGACCGCCUGGGAAUACCAGGUGCUGUAAGCU